UACGUAGGGUGCGAGCGUUAAUCGGAAUUACUGGGCGUAAAGCGUGCGCAGGCGGUUCGUUAAGUCAGAUGUGAAAGCCCCGGGCUCAACCUGGGAACUGCAUUUGAAACUGGCGGGCUUGAGUAUGGCAGAGGGGGGUGGAAUUCCGCGUGUAGCAGUGAAAUGCGUAGAGAUGGGGAGGAACACCGAUGGCGAAGGCAGCCCCCUGGGCCAAUACUGACGCUCAGGCACGAAAGCGUGGGGAGCAAACAGG
rnacentral:rRNA from 1 species